rnacentral:tRNA from 1 species
GCGUUGAUGGGGUAGUGGUAACCUUGGUCGUUGCCACCCACCGUAUCGACCAGCCGGGGGUUCGAUUCCCUCUCAACGCA